rnacentral:misc_RNA from 1 species
GAAAUGCGAUAAGUAAUGUGAAUUGCAGAAUUCAGUGAAUCAUCGAAUCUUUGAACGCACAUUGCGCCCCCCGGCAGUCCGAGGGGCAUGCCUGUCCGAGCGUCAUACAACCAAUCCCCUCGGGGGUAUUGGGCCAUGCUGGUGACGGCAGGUCCUAAAUCCAGUGGCGGUGUCGCACGUACUCGAGCGUAGUAAUUGUCUCGCUUAGGGGAGCGUGUGAUGGCCGACCAUCAAAUCUUCUACACGUUAGGUGGACCUCGGAUCAGGUAGGAAUACCCGCUGAACUUAA